UACGUAGGGUGCAAGCGUUGUCCGGAAUUAUUGGGCGUAAAGAGCUCGUAGGCGGUCUGUCGCGUCUGCUGUGAAAACUCAGGGCUUAACCCUGAGCUUGCAGUGGGUACGGGCAGACUAGAGUGCGGUAGGGGAGACUGGAAUUCCUGGUGUAGCGGUGAAAUGCGCAGAUAUCAGGAGGAACACCUGUGGCGAAGGCGGCCAGCUGGGCCGGACCUGACGCUGAGACGCGAAGGCGUGGGGAGCGAACGGG
rnacentral:rRNA from 1 species